GGUUUUUUGGGGCACCUUGUACAGUACAUUCCAAAGCAUUAAAUUCCUUUCUAUUGUGUUUAUGCACCCUUGGGAUCAAUUAGUGCUGAAUCAUGCAAAUUCUAAAAAUAUAUCUGAUUUUAACGGUUGCAGUUUUUUUUAGACACCCCACAUAUGUUAGGUAUAUAACUAGUAUACUUAUCAGUAGUAUAAAUGCUGACUUGCUCCUUAAUUUGACGAUAUAUAAAAAACGGCCUCAUCUUUCCAUAUUAACAACGCACUCCAGUUUAAAUACAAUCUCGUGAGCUCCUAACCCAUCGUAACUGACAGUAAGCCCAACACUGACUUAAUCGUUGUG